ensembl:piRNA 21ur-597 ncRNA
UAAGAAUGUAAAACCAUGUCA